GGUUGUGGCUCAGCUGUAAAGUGCUCGCCUGGCAUGUGUGAGGCCCUGGGUUCAAUCCUCAGAACCA
rnacentral:tRNA from 1 species